rnacentral:rRNA from 1 species
UCGAAUACUGGCAGGUUCUUGGAGUUAUGUGGGGGUCGCCGGAACAUGUGGUGUAGCGUGAAUGCAUAGAUAUCACAUAGAACACCGAUCGCGAAGGCAGGUGCCCAACCCAUAUACUGACGCUGAUGGACGAAAGCGUGGGGAGCGAACGGGAUUAGAUACCCCGGUAGUCCACGCGUAAACGAUGGAUACUAGCUGUCGGGACCUCGGUCUCGGCGGCCAAGCGAAAGUGAUAAGUAUCCCACCUGGGGAGUACGUUCGCAAGAAUGAAACUCAAAGGAAUUGACGGGGGCCCGCACAAGCGGUGGAGCAUGUGGUUUAAUUCGAUGAUACGCGAGGAACCUUACCAGGGCUUAAAUGCAGGCUGCAUGGGGCAGAGACGCCCCUCUCUUCGGACCGCCUGCAAGGUGCUGCAUGGUUGUCGUCAGCUCGUGCCGUGAGGUGUCAGGUUAAGUCCUAUAACGAGCGCAACCCCUACCGUUAGUUGCCAGCGAGUGAAGUCGGGGACUCUAACGGGACUGCCGGUGCAAACCGUGAGGAAGGUGGGGACGACGUCAAAUCAUCACGGCCCUUACGUCCUGGGCCACACACGUGCUACAAUGGCCGGUACAGAGGGAAGCCACCCCGUGAGGGGGCGCGGAUCUAUAAAACCGGUCACAGUUCGGAUCGGGGUCUGCAACUCGACCCCGUGAAGCUGGAAUCGCUAGUAAUCGGAUAUCAGCCAUGAUUCGGUGAAUACGUUCCCGGGCCUUGUACACACCGCCCGUCAAGCCAUGGAAGCUGGGAGUGCCUGAAGUCCGUCACCGCGAGGAGCGGCCUAGGGCAAAAUCGGUAACUAGGGCUAAGUCGUAACAAGGUAACCGUAA